rnacentral:rRNA from 1 species
GAUGAACGCUGGCGGCGUGCCUAAUACAUGCAAGUCGAGCGAACAGACGAGGAGCUUGCUCCUCUGACGUUAGCGGCGGACGGGUGAGUAACACGUGGAUAACCUACCUAUAAGACUGGGAUAACUUCGGGAAACCGGAGCUAAUACCGGAUAAUAUAUUGAACCGCAUGGUUCAAUAGUGAAAGACGGUUUUGCUGUCACUUAUAGAUGGAUCCGCGCCGCAUUAGCUAGUUGGUAAGGUAACGGCUUACCAAGGCGACGAUGCGUAGCCGACCUGAGAGGGUGAUCGGCCACACUGGAACUGAGACACGGUCCAGACUCCUACGGGAGGCAGCAGUAGGGAAUCUUCCGCAAUGGGCGAAAGCCUGACGGAGCAACGCCGCGUGAGUGAUGAAGGUCUUCGGAUCGUAAAGCUCUGUUAUUAGGGAAGAACAAAUGUGUAAGUAACUACGCACGUCUUGACGGUACCUAAUCAGAAAGCCACGGCUAACUACGUG